UCACAAAAAAUGAGUACAGGUGCCCUGCGGGGCUUAAUAGGGAAGUCCGGUGCAAAACCGGCGCGGUCCCGCCACUGUAACACGGAGUCAGCCCUUACCAUGCCACUGGAAACACUUUCGGGAAGGCUGGGCGGAUGAUGAACUGGAGCCAGGAGACCUGCCUGUACGGAAAGUCUUCG
rnacentral:ncRNA from 2 species